rnacentral:lncRNA from 1 species
AUGUUAAUAACUUUGUUUUUUCUUUUUUUUUCUUUCCUUUCCAGUUUUCCUUUCUUUUGUUUUAGAAUUAUUUCUCUCUUUAUUUUAUUAUUUGGUCUGUUCUUACUGUUCUUUGCAUUUAUUUGCUUAUUUAGCAAAUCUAACAAUUAUUCAAAUCUGUCUGCAACUGUGAAUUCUGUUUCCAAAUAUUUAAACAUUUCAUAGUUAUUGAAGUCUGUGAGGCUAACUGAUGAAUAUGAUAACAAAUACUUUCAUCAGCUAAAGAUAUUUGCUUCAGUAGUUCAGUUCUUUGUUAAUUUACUGGAGGUGCUUGAGCAAGAUUUAUGGCACUUUAUGAAUUUCAUACUAAUUUCCUAGAUUCAAAGAGAGUAAAAUCAUAAAUACACUAAUUUUGUUGUUC